AGAGUUUGAUCCUGGCUCAGAAUCAACGCUGGCGGCAUGCCUCAGACAUGCAAGUCGAACGCGAAAGGCUCCUUCGGGGGCCGAGUAGAGUGGCGUCCGGGUGAGUAACACGUGGGUAAUCUACCUUCGGGUGGGGAAUAACAGCCGGAAACGGCUGCUAAUACCGCAUAAUGCAGCGGCACCUAAUGGUGACAGUUGUUAAAGCGGGGGAUCGUAAGACCUCGCGCCUGAAGAGGAGCCCGCGGCGGAUUAGCUAGUUGGCAGGGUAACGGCCUACCAAGGCAACGAUCCGUAGCCGGCCUGAGAGGGCGGUCGGCCACACUGGCACUGACACACGGGCCAGACUCCUACGGGAGGCAGCAGUCGGGAAUUUUGGGCAAUGGGCGAAAGCCUGACCCAGCAACGCCGCGUGAAGGAUGAAGUUUCUCGGAAUGUAAACUUCACAAGAAUGGGAAGAAUAAGUGCGGGCUAACAUCCUGCAUGAUGACGGUACCAUUUGUAAGCUCCGGCUAACUCCGUGCCAGCAGCCGCGGUAAUACGGGGGGAGCAAGCGUUGUUCGGAUUUACUGGGCGUAAAGGGCGCGUAGGCGGCGCAACAAGUCACUUGUGAAAUCUCCGGGCUUAACUCGGAGCGGCCAAGUGAUACUGUCGUGCUAGAGUGCGGAAGGGGCUACUGGAAUUCUCGGUGUAGCGGUGAAAUGCGUAGAUAUCGAGAGGAACACCUGCGGCGAAGGCGGGUAGCUGGGCCGACACUGACGCUGAUGCGCGAAAGCCAGGGGAGCGAACGGGAUUAGAUACCCCGGUAGUCC
rnacentral:rRNA from 1 species